rnacentral:tRNA from 1 species
UUGAAAAAGUCAUGGAGGUCAUGGGGUUGGCUUGAAACCAGCUUUAGGGGGUUCGAUUCCUUCCUUUUUUUGU